GGGAACUGGAGAGGCACAGCCCCCAGCAGAGAUUCCAUCAGUAUGGGCUCUGUCCAGAGCUGGGUGUUAUUAGGGCUGUGCUGGGUGUUGGUUAUCAGGGCUGUGCUGGGUGUUGGUUAUCAGGGCUGUGCUGGGUGUUGGUUAUCAGGGCUGUGCUGGGUGUUGGUUAUCAGGGCUGUGCUGGGUGUUGGUUAUCAGGGCUGUGCUGGGUGUUGGUUAUCAGGGCUGUGCUGGGUGUUGGUUAUCAGGGCUGUGCUGGGUGUUGGUUAUCAGGGCUGUGCUGGGUGUUGGUUAUCAGGGCUGUGCUGGGUGUUGGUUAUCAGGGCUGUGCUGGGUGUUGGUUAUCAGGGCUGUGCUGGGUGUUGGUUAUCAGGGCUGUGCUGGGUGUUGGUUAUCAGGGCUGUGCUGGGUGUUGGUUAUCAGGGCUGUGCUGGGUGUUGGUUAUCAGGGCUGUGCUGGGUGUUAUUAGGGCUGUGCUGGGUGUUAUCAGGGCUGUGCUGGGUGUCGGUUAUUAGGGCUGUGCUGGGUGUCGGUUAUUAGGGCUGUGCUGGGUGUUCAUUGGGCUGUGCUGGAUGUUGGUUAUUAGGGCUGUGCUGGGUGUUAUUAGGGCUGUGCUGGGUGUUGGUUAUUAGGGCUGUGCUGGGUGUCGGUUAUUAGGGAUGUGCUGGGUGUUGGUUAUUAGGGAUGUGCUGGGUGUCGGUUAUUAGGGCUGUGCUGGGCAUCCCUCCUUCCACCUGUGGAAGUCUUGAAAUUAUCACACUCUGGAACUCAAAUGAAUUUAGAUGCAAA
rnacentral:lncRNA from 12 species